AAAUUGGUAGUUCAUCAACCUCAGCCAAAGGUGGCUGAACUUUGACCUUCAUUUUUUACAGGCUGCGAUGCUGAAACUUGGACCACUUGCAGCGCUCUUCACGUGUAACACGUCAAUAAAUUUUCAUUGCACUA
rnacentral:lncRNA from 1 species